GACGAACGCUGGCGGCGUGCUUAACACAUGCAAGUCGAACGAAGAGCGAUGGAAGCUUGCUUCUAUCAAUCUUAGUGGCGAACGGGUGAGUAACGCGUAAUCAACCUGCUCUUCAGAGGGGGACAACAGUUGGAAACGACUGCUAAUACCGCAUACGAUCUGACCUCGGCAUCGAGGAUAGAUGAAAGGUGGCCUCUACAUGUAAGCUAUCACUGAAGGAGGGGAUUGCGUCUGAUUAGCUAGUUGGAGGGGUAACGGCCCACCAAGGCGAAGAUCAGUAGCCGGUCUGAGAGGAGUGACGGCCACAUUGGGACUGAGACACGGCCCAGACUCCUACGGGAGGCAGCAGUGGGGAAUCUUCCGCAAUGGACGAAAGUCUGACGGAGCAACGCCGCGUGAGGGAUGACGGCCUUCGGGUUGUAAAGCUCUGGUAAUCGGGACGAAAGGCCUUUUUGCGAAUAGUGAGAAGGAUUGACGGUACCGGAAUAGAAAGCCACGGCUAACUACGUG
rnacentral:rRNA from 1 species